GAUUAGAUACCCUGGUAGUCCACGCUGUAAACGAUGUCGAUUUGGAGUUUGUUGCCUAGAGUGAUGGGCUCCGAAGCUAACGCGAUAAAUCGACCGCCUGGGGAGUACGGCCGCAAGGUUAAAACUCAAAUGAAUUGACGGGGGCCCGCACAAGCGGUGGAGCAUGUGGUUUAAUUCGAUGCAACGCGAAGAACCUUACCUGGUCUUGACAUCCAUAGAAUUCUGCAGAGAUGUGGGAGUGCCUUCGGGAACUAUGAGACAGGUGCUGCAUGGCUGUCGUCAGCUCGUGUUGUGAAAUGUUGGGUUAAGUCCCGCAACGAGCGCAACCCUUAUUCUUUGUUGCCAGCGAUUUGGUCGGGAACUCAAAGGAGACUGCCGUUGAUAAAGCGGAGGAAGGUGGGGACGACGUCAAGUCAUCAUGGCCCUUACGACCAGGGCUACACACGUGCUACAAUGGCGUAUACAAAGGGAAGCGAAGGUGCGAGCUGGAGCGGAUCUCAUAAAGUACGUCUAAGUUCGGAUUGGAGUCUGCAACUCGACUCCAUGAAGUCGGAAUCGCUAGUAAUCGUAGAUCAGAAUGCUACGGUGAAUACGUUCCCGGGCCUUGUACACACCGCCCGUCACACCAUGGGAGUGGGUUGCACCAGAAGUAGAUAGCUUAACCGCGAGGGGGGCGUUUACCACGGUGUGAUUCAUGACUGGGGUGAAGUCGUAACAAGGUAACCA
rnacentral:rRNA from 1 species